AUCUAUUUGUUCCUUCAUUAAGUGAGUAAAUAUGAGCAUAUAACUAUGAUUCUUUUUUGUUCAUUUCUGGUCUUAAUUGUAGUCAACGGAUUUUAACCCCGGUAUGUCAUCAUUGAACCAAUAGACUAGCAGCUCUUAUAGAUUUAAUUUACCUAUUUAGGGGAUGGGACCAUCUAUAUUGGAGGCAAGUAAAUAAAGAGGGAAUGAAAUUACUUUCCAGGAAAGCACCAAAAAGGAGAUAUACCAGGACUAUAUUAUUAAGUGUCUACUGAAUCAGAUGAAUGGGUUAAAAGAAAAAAAAAAAAAAAGCUAGCUAAAACAGGACCUGCUCCUGGAAGGUGUGUUGAGAGGACUUUCUUCAGGGCAAGACAUUAUUGUAGGCACGAGGCAAGCUGUUCACUCAGCCGUUGCUGUCCGUUCCUGGUCCCGGGAAGUCAUCUGGAGGUAUGCCUUUCACCGCAGUAAUUCAGAUAAUGUGCUAUCUUCAAUGUCUUUGACCUAACCUUCUGUUUGUUAGUUAUUAUUUUUUAUUGUUAUUUAUUUUAAUUUCAGUAUAGUUAACAUACAGUUUUAUCUUCAUUUCAGGUGAAACUAAUCACUACACUAUAGUGAUUCAACAAUGAUAUACAUUACUCAGAGCUCAUCAUGAUGAGUGUGCUCUUUAAUCCCCAACACUUAUUUGCCCCCCCCAACACCCCCCCACCCCCGACCGCUGGUAACCAUUAGUUUGUUCUCUAUGGUUAGGAGUUUGUUCCUUGGUUUGUUUCUCUCUUUCCUUUUGUUUGUUUUGUUUCUUAAAGUCCACAUAUAAGUGAAAUUAUAUGGUAUUUGUCUUUCUCUAGCUCACUUUUUUGGCCUAGCAUUAUACUCUCUAGUUCCAUACGUGUUGCAAAUGGCAAUAUUUCAUUCCUUUUAAUGACUGGAUAAUGAUCUG
rnacentral:lncRNA from 12 species